GCGGGGCGCGGUGGCAUGUGCCUGUAGACCCAGCUACUAGGGAGGCUGAGGCUGGAGGAUCACUUGAGUCCAGGAGUUCUGGGCUGUAGUGCACUAUGCCGAUCAGGUGUCCGCACUAAGUUCAGCAUCAAUAUGGUGACCUCCUGGGAGCGGGGGACCACCAGGCUGCCUAAGGAGGGGUGAACUGGCCCAGGUUGGAAACGGAACAGGUCAAAACUCCUGUGCUGAUCAGUAGUGGGAUUGAGCCUGUGAAUAGCCACUGCACUCCGGCCUGGACAACAUAGAGAAACCCCCCACA
rnacentral:SRP_RNA from 1 species